rnacentral:piRNA from 1 species
UCCAAAUGAUGGACAGUAUAA